UGUUUCGGCUAGGGGGCCAUCCCGGCUUACCAACCCGAUGCAAACUGCGAAUACCGGAGAAUGUUAUCACGGGAGACACACGGCGGGUGCUAACGUCCGUCGUGAAGAGGGAAACAACCCAGACCGCCAGCUAAGGUCCCAAAGUCAUGGUUAAGUGGGAAACGAUGUGGGAAGGCCCAGACAGCCAGGAUGUUGGCUUAGAAGCAGCCAUCAUUUAAAGAAAGCGUAAUAGCUCACUGGUCGAGUCGGCCUGCGCGGAAGAUGUAACGGGGCUAAACCAUGCACCGAAGCUGCGGCAGCGACACUGUGUGUUGUUGGGUAGGGGAGCGUUC
rnacentral:rRNA from 1 species